GGGACGAACGCUGGCGGCGUGCUUAACACAUGCAAGUCGAGCGGUAAGGCCCUUUCGGGGGUACACGAGCGGCGAACGGGUGAGUAACACGUGAGUAAUCUGCCCUCCACUUGGGGAUAAGCUUCGGAAACGGGGUCUAAUACCUGAUACGACAACUACCUGCAUGGGUUGGUUGUGGAAAGUUUUUUCGGUGGGGGAUGUGCUCGCGGCCUAUCAGCUUGUUGGUGGGUAAUGGCCUACCAAGGCUUCGACGGGUAGCCGGCCUGAGAGGGUCGACCGGCCACACGUGGGACUGAGACACGGCCCAGACUCCUACGGGAGCAGCAGUGGGGAAUAGUUGGACAAGUGGGCGAAGCCUGAUCCAGCAACGCCGCGUGGAGGGAUGGACGGUCCGUUCGGGUUAGUAAACCUCGUUUACACGGUACCGACGAACGCCGCCCGGUUGUGGGUGGUGACGGUAGUACAGGAAGAAGACACCGGACCAACGUACG
rnacentral:rRNA from 1 species